rnacentral:lncRNA from 1 species
ACCAGCUCCUUGCUCACAUUCGUCAUUAUCCAAGAGAUCACCAUCACAUUACACCUAUCCCACUGUUUCUUCUCCACAUCGUCAAUGAAGUCGUCUCGCUUAAUGCUACCAUCAAUGAACCCCAAUUUAUUCUUUGUGAGGAGAUUGAGUUGCAUUGCACGACUCCAAAGAGUGUAAUUCUCCAUUCCGAUGAGCUGAAUCCCAAUUUGCACA